UACCAGCUCUUCGAGUGGUGUGGAUGUUUAUUGGGCCUAAAGCAUCCGUAGCUGGCUGGGCAAGUCCCCUGUUAAAUCCACCGAUUUAAUCGUUGGAGUGCGGGGGGAUACUGUUCGGCUAGGGGACGGGAGAGGCAGACGGUAUUUUCGGGGUAGGGGUGAAAUCCUAUAAUCCCGGGAAGACCACCAGUGGCGAAGGCUGUCUGCUAGAACGCGCCCGACGGUGAGGGAUGAAAGCUGGGGGAGCGAACCGGAUUAGAUACCCGGGUAGUCCCAGCUGUAAACGAUGCAGGCUAGGUGUUUGGGCGGCCACGUGCCGCUCUAGUGCCGCAGGGAAGCCGUUAAGCCUGCCGCCUGGGGAGUACGGCCGCAAGGCUGAAACUUAAAGGAAUUGGCGGGGGAGCACCACAAGGGGUGAAGCUUGCGGUUU
rnacentral:rRNA from 1 species